rnacentral:lncRNA from 1 species
UCGCCGGUUUUGGUGGCCGGAGGAGGGAGCUCCGGGCGAGGGGAACCACCACGGCUUCCAACGGCUUCGGGCGUCGUUCCUCACUCACGGCGGCGCUAGGGGAGCUGUCACCGGGCCAGGGAGGAUGCUGGGUUGGAGACAGAUCGAACGAGACCGGUGCGGCGGCAGAUGGUGGCCCGACGGCGGCGGGCGGACGGCCAGAACUUUCCGGCAGGGGGAGGGGCUCGGGAGGAAAACUGGGAGAGAGGGAGAAGAGAAAAAGAGGGAGAUGGGUUUGGGCCUCUCCAAACCGGUCCAAUACUCAUAUAUCAACCCACUCCAAAAUAAAACACCCCGAAAAAAAUAAUACCCGAAUAAAAAUUACCUUUUACUAGCUAAAAUUUACUAUUUUUACCGUCGUCAUAUUUUCCUCCUACGAAUAAUCCUCCGCACAUAAUCGUCCCCGAAACCCCUCUAGGGACCAAUUAAACUAUUAACUCAAUGACGGAGACGGUAAAAUUCUUAUAAUAAUCAAGCUAGUAAAUAAGGUAAAAGGGUCGGGAUGUGACAAAUACCCUACUAAAAAUUACCAUUUUACUAGUUAAAAUUUACCUUUUUCACCGUCUUCAAAAAUUUCUCCUAUGAACAAUUCCUCCGAAAUAAUCGUCCCUCAAAACCCCUCUAGGACUUUUAAGACUAUAAACUCAUUUACAAAGACGGUAAAACUCUUAUUAAUACCAAGCUAGUAAAUAGAGUAAAAAUUUAAGAGUCGGGAUAUGACAUCUAAAGUACUAACCCCACCUAUGUUGCACGGACACUUCUGAAGGCGGAGUGUCAAAGUGUCCGACACGCCCCGACAUGAAACGACACGCCCUGAUGUUGUGUUCGACACGGCCCAACACUUUGACUGACACGCCAUGUUAGCAAUUUCAAUUUAAAAAAGAAAACAUGAACCCAAAAAAAUAACUAUCGUAUCCUCUAAGCAGCAAGAAAACAAAAUAAUAAUAAUAAGAGAAAAUUGAUGAAGUGAAAGUAAAUUGAGAAUAGAGAAUCGUGAAAGAUGUGUAUCUCAUUCAUUGAUAGGAGCCUUUUAUAUAGGGAAUUACACAUUACCAGUAUGGUAAGGAUAUGAAUACAUAGAUCUAGUCUAACUACAUAUCCUAUUGGCAUAAGGCAAAGACACACAUAAAGAAUAUCGUAGAACACUCCCCCUUGUGCCGCGCGUUGAUAUGCCAGUGGUGCUAAUCUGUUGCCUCGUCAAAAACCUCGUCAAGUCACAAAAACCCUGUGGGAGAAAAACUGAACCUUGAUCGUAGGAGAAAAAGAGUACAACGCACCAGCCUACUUCAUUGAGAUGAUACUCCCCCUGAUGUGAACAUUAUUCAGAGAGACUUGAUAGCCGACGCAUGCCUAUACUUUUCACAUGUUUCUCAAAAGUAGACUUAGGCAAAGACUUAGUAAAUAAGUCUGCUGCGUUUCUUUCGGAACUAACUUGGUUCACUUGAAUGUUGAGAAACGCCUGUUGCUGUUGGUUGUAGAAGAACUUAGGUGAAAUGUGCUUUGUAUUGUCACCCUUGAUGAAACCUAACUUCAUUUGCUCAAUACAAGCUGCAUUGUCCUCAUAAAUGCAUGUAGGUCUAUCAGUUGUAGAACUUAAUCCACUAGUUCCUCUAAUGUGCUUAAUGAUUGAUCUCAACCAAACACAUUCCCG